rnacentral:rRNA from 1 species
CCUACGGGAGGCUGCAGUGAGGAAUAUUGGUCAAUGGCCGAGAGGCUGAACCAGCCAAGUCGCGUGAGGGAAGACGGCCCUACGGGUUGUAAACCUCUUUUGUCGGGGAGCAAAGCGAACCACGUGUGGUUCAUUGAGAGUACCCGAAGAAAAAGCAUCGGCUAACUCCGUGCCAGCAGCCGCGGUAAUACGGAGGAUGCGAGCGUUAUCCGGAUUUAUUGGGUUUAAAGGGUGCGCAGGCGGAGGUGCAAGUCAGCGGUAAAAUUGCGGGGCUCAACCCCGUACUGCCGUUGAAACUGCAUCCCUUGAGUGCGCGAGAAGUAUGCGGAAUGCGUGGUGUAGCGGUGAAAUGCAUAGAUAUCACGCAGAACUCCGAUUGCGAAGGCAGCAUACCGGCGCCCGACUGACGCUGAGGCACGAAAGCGUGGGGAUCGAACAGGAUUAGAUACCCUUGUAGUC